UGGGGAAUAUUGGACAAUGGGCGAAAGCCUGAUCCAGCCAUGCCGCGUGUGUGAAGAAGGUCUUCGGAUUGUAAAGCACUUUAAGUUGGGAGGAAGGGCAUUAACCUAAUACGUUAGUGUUUUGACGUUACCGACAGAAUAAGCACCGGCUAACUCUGUGCCAGCAGCCGCGGUAAUACAGAGGGUGCAAGCGUUAAUCGGAAUUACUGGGCGAAAAGCGCGCGUAGGGGGUUUGUUAAGUUGGAUGUGAAAUCCCCGGGCUCAACCUGGGAACUGCAUUCAAAACUGACUGACUAGAGUAUGGUAGAGGGUGGUGGAAUUUCCUGUGUAGCGGUGAAAUGCGUAGAUAUAGGAAGGAACACCAGUGGCGAAGGCGACCACCUGGACUAAUACUGACACUGAGGUGCGAAAGCGUGGGGAGCAAACA
rnacentral:rRNA from 1 species